rnacentral:rRNA from 1 species
AGACCCGAAACCCGGUGAUCUAGCCAUGGGCAGGUUGAAGGUUGGGUAACACUAACUGGAGGACCGAACCGACUAAUGUUGAAAAAUUAGCGGAUGACCUGUGGCUGGGGGUGAAAGGCCAAUCAAACCGGGAGAUAGCUGGUUCUCCCCGAAAGCUAUUUAGGUAGCGCCUCGUGAAUUCAUCUCCGGGGGUAGAGCACUGUUUCGGCUAGGGGGCCAUCCCGGCUUACCAACCCGAUGCAAACUGCGAAUACCGGAGAAUGUUAUCACGGGAGACACACGGCGGGUGCUAACGUCCGUCGUGAAGAGGGAAACAACCCAGACCGCCAGCUAAGGUCCCAAAGUCAUGGUUAAGUGGGAAACGAUGUGGGAAGGCCCAGACAGCCAGGAUGUUGGCUUAGAAGCAGCCAUCAUUUAAAGAAAGCGUAAUAGCUCACUGGUCGAGUCGGCCUGCGCGGAAGAUGUAACGGGGCUAAACCAUGCACCGAAGCUGCGGCAGCGACACUGUGUGUUGUUGGGUAGGGGAGCGUUCUGUAAGCCUGUGAAGGUGUGUCGUGAGGCAUGCUGGAGGUAUCAGAAGUGCGAAUGCUGACAUAAGUAACGAUAAAGCGGGUGAAAAGCCCGCUCGCCGGAAGACCAAGGGUUCCUGUCCAACGUUAAUCGGGGCAGGGUGAGUCGACCCCUAAGGCGAGGCCGAAAGGCGUAGUCGAUGGGAAACGGGUUAAUAUUCCCGUACUUGGUGUUACUGCGAAGGGGGGACGGAGAAGGCUAUGUUGGCCGGGCGACGGUUGUCCCGGUUUAAGCGUGUAGGUGUGUGUUCCAGGUAAAUCCGGUUCACUUUAACACUGAGGCGUGACGACGAGGCACUACGGUGCUGAAGCAACAAAUGCCCUGCUUCCAGGAAAAGCCUCUAAGCAUCAGGUAACAUCAAAUCGUACCCCAAACCGACACAGGUGGUCAGGUAGAGAAUACCAAGGCGCUUGAGAGAACUCGGGUGAAGGAACUAGGCAAAAUGGUGCCGUAACUUCGGGAGAAGGCACGCUGACA